rnacentral:lncRNA from 1 species
CCCCCACCACCCGUCCCCGUUCCCGGCGCCGGGGUGAUAUUGUCCCGUCCCCGAUCCCCAUGGGGUGGCUGUCCCCGUUGCAGCUACAGGCUGACAUCUGGAGGUAGAUCUGUCUUCCCCUUCCCCGUUGCACCCACCCCCCACUUCUCCGGUCUCGACGCGUUCCCCUCCACCCCCAACGCCCCUGGCGAAGCUGCUCGAUUUGGUGACGCGGUGUACUCCCUUUAAUUAGCACCAUGCCGAUCCCUUUUAAUCUGUCUGCACUAUAUGCUUGUGUUGCAAUUUGCAACAAAUCUCAGUUAUGCUCAUCACGAUUAAAUGAUUAAAUGCAUGGAGAAACUCCUUAGUGUAGCAGUCCCCAGCUAGUUAAACCGAUUCAGGUAUUUACAGAGUUGCUUGUUUGUCAUUUCUCACUGUCAUUGGCAUGGUUCUUUUCUUGAAGUGGCUUACUAUGAACAGGUUUGCAUGCUCAAUACCCAUCAGCCCUUCAUUACCUGUUGAUAACCUGCAACCUACUACAAUGGAAGUUUGACUCAUUGUGUAGUAGUAUUACAUACAGUAACUUCUAGGCUGAACACCCAUGUAUCCAACAUUUUGAUUACUUUUUAUUUGUUUGAUAUUUCUCUAUGAUUUAGCCUUCAGGCAAAAAAAGAGGUGGCCCAUAUAUAAGCAUGUGCCCUGAAACCCUAUGUUCCAUAUAUAAGCAUGUGCCUUGAAACCUAUGUUCGCUCUGACCACCAACACUACUUCACUCAAAAUUGUCCCUACUGUAUUUAUAGUUGUUAUCCGUUUGGAAUGUUCUACACAUACUUUGGUUUUAGCGUGUGACAUGGUGCUAAUUUCUUUCGUUGCAAUUGUUUUGAGAUCAUUCUAAAUGCCAUCCUUCCUAAAUAAAGAAAUUAAAGACCACUCUGUGUUCAAUUAAGAGAGAAACAGAUUCAAGAAGCUUUUAAUUUAUGUCCUUUCUCAACAGGAAACUGCCAUUUAUUAAUUUGGAGCAGGAACGGGAGGUCCAUGCGUGUGCCCUCUCAGAAACAGCGGAUGCUAGUGAAGGAAGGCGCUCGGCACAGCCAUGGCUAUGGUGCGCCCGUUCCCGGACCACCUCCCCUACUGUAGCACAGCAUGGUUUCCUUCCUCCUCCCUUUUGGUACUACUAAUAAACUACUUUUAGUGUAAAACUAAUAAUCAUGUUAGACUAGCACUGCAGUCAGUGGCGGCCCCAGCCACAAUAAUCUGUGGGGUCAAUGGUAUUUUUUUAUUUUUUUCUUCAUAGUAAACAGUAAAUCAACAAUACUUAUAGCCUUAUAGGCUGUUUUUCAAAAAAGCUGUGGAGUAGGCUGACCCCACAGCUUACACGUAAAUUCACCCCUGACUGCAGCUAGAGUAUAUAAGACCAAAUAUUGAUUCUUCCUUAGUAUUUUGAACUAAAUGAAUAAUUCACAUGACAGGAGUUUAGAUAGCAUCAUUGUUUUACUAAUGCACAUGUUUCUAUGUGUGACAGAUAGUUGACUUCAGUUUUGCAAAGUUGGAAGGUGGAAGGACUAACACAGUAUAUGGUAUAGCUGACUUUAGCUAUAUCAAUAUCUUAUAUACUUGCUUUAUUUGUCAGGAUUUAGUUUUUCCUCUUUGUCUUGCUGCUCACCAGGAUAGCUAUUUUUUGUGUGUGCAGAAAAUCUUUUAGAUAUUAAGCUAAAAUAUGGACAUUUGAGUCAUGCUAUCAUUAGAAGAGAGUUGUUAGAUACUUUGUGUGUUGAUAGUACUAAGUCCUAUUUCUGGCUUACCAGAGUGCACAUGAAGUCAUCUAUUCAUGAUUAUGGAUUUUGGACUACUCCCUAGGAAAUGUAGAACUGCUCAUGAUUGGUGAUGAGGUUGCAUCUGGGCUAAGCGUAGACCUCUGAUUGUAAAGUCAGAACUGUAGAACCCUACAGAAGCUGGCUAAGUGUAGUUUGAUGAUUUGAUUUUUAAGCAGUGUGGAUCAUACCGUAGUCAGAAUAUUAUCAAUAUAUACCGAGAUUUUGCUUAGGUAGUGUACCUGGGAAGUUUAGUUAAAAGUUCCAGCAUCUGUAUUAAAGGUUGUGUCUCCCAUUUGACAAGACCUUAUGUCCUUAGGAGCAAUCAUACUAUAGUCAAAUAAUUUUUUUGGUUAAUCCAUGCUUGUUUAAAAGUCUGUCCCAUGAAUGAGUGCACUCUUAAAAUGAGAUAUCUAAAAACUACAUAUAAAUGUACAUUCUGUAGCUUUUUAUGUGUGGAAAUUUUGUGAGUUUGGAUUGAUAUUCAAUUAUUCAUAUUGUUGCAGGGCACUCUUUCUUGCUGAACUGAGUAAUGCAGGUUGUUUGAGAUGAUCACUAGCCAUAUAUUGUGAAACUGAAAUCGUUAGCUAUAGCUGAUAAUGUAGUCAUACCUAAUCCGUUUACACUAUAAUGGCCUAUUGAAGACUGUAACAAAGACAAACAGUUUGUUCGUUUUGCCCAUGGUAGAAACUUUUGACAGUAACAACAUAAACUGGAGAACCUUGCACCAUGUUCUCAUCCCAGAGAUAAAGAUGCUGUCGUCUCGGAUCCAGUGUUGCCAUAGUCCAGGAUCCCAGAGAUAGACAUGUACAAGAACUGUUGGCCAUAGUUUGGUGAUAGAUCCAGAGUUCUAGAUAAGUUCAUUAAAUACUGUGAUUUCUUCUUACAGUGUUGUCCUAGCACUAGGAGAGCUUGUCAGAAAGGGUUGUGCAAAAUCAUCAACUUAUCUUGGAUCAUGGUUCGAGCUGUGUAAUAGACUGAGUAAAUGUAUGCGGCAGCUCUUUAGUGUAGCAGUCCCCAGCUAGUUUAACCUAUUCAGAUAUUUACUGAGUUGUUCAUCAUUUUUCACUGGCAUGGUUCUUUUCUUGAAGUGGUUUACUAUGAACUUGGUUUGCAUGCUCAGUUCCCACCAGCCCUUCCUUCCCUGUUGAUAACUCGCAAUCUACAACAAGGGAAGUUUGACUCACUGUUUUAGUAUUACAGAACUUCUAGGCUGAAAAUUCAUGUAUCCCACAUUUCAAGUACUUUUUAUUCGUCUGUUUUUUCUCUUAGAUUUAGCCUUAAUAAGACAAGAGAAGAGGUGGCCCAUAGAUAAGCAUGUACCUUGAACUCCCUAGGUUCUCUCUGACCCCACCACUACUUCCUUCUCAUUGUACUUGUACCUACUGUAUUGAUAGUUGUUGCCCAUCUGAAAUGUUUAUUACCCAAACUUAGUUUUAGAGGGUGACAACGGUGCUAAUUUCCUUCAUUGCAAUUGUUUUGAGAUUAUUCUGAGUGACAUCCUUCUGAAGAAAUUAAAGACUGCUCCGAGUUCCAAUUUCAGAGUGAACAGGAGAACACAAUGCUAUGAUUGCACUAUGUUUGGUUGUGUCAAGUUAUUUGAAAUUUACCUUGGCCAUGUAAUUCAUCACUUGGCUGUGAUGAUCCAUUAACUUAAGUACCAUAAUGUAAUCCCGCUUUGGUUCAUAUGUGCAUCCUUUACUCUCAGAUCUCGAACAAUUUCUAUACAUUUCUCAUUUGUGUGGUCAGUGUCCAGUCGAACAGAACAUAGAGAGGCUAAGUUUUUAGUGUGCUGUCUGCUUGUUCUUCUUACAGUUUUUUUCUUCAUAUUCUCUCUUGUUAUACUGUUGUGCAUUACUCUGAUAAUAGCAAUUCUUGCAGGUCUCGUUGAAAGUAGGACCUCGGUGAUCUAAGCAAAUAAGAUAGAAGUUAGGUGGAAGAGAAGGGAAAAUUACAGCAACCACCAAGAAAUGAGAGAUCUAGGUUAGUGUUCAUGAAAGUUUAGAUCAAUAUUUGUAUUACUGUCCAUGGUGUCUCAGAUCGCAACUUCAACAAUAAUUUUGCUUGGAGAUAGCAAAUUCUUGUUUCAUGGUUUUGGUAGAGAUCAUCUUUUACUCAGAGUAGAACCAGGUUACGUUAUAGGUUCAGCCGUUUGUUGCUACAUUUUUUUCUCCUAUAAGAUGUAUCUAGCAUCAUCUGUUUACGUGAUCCAUUGGUGCAUACACAGCUCUAUUUGGGUUCAUAGGAAAUAAUUAAUGUUUUUUUUUUUGUAAAAGAUAAUCUUGUGCACUUGCUACAUUGGUUUUCUUUGAUUAGAUGCAUUCUUUGCUGCUUCUCUUGGAUUAUGAGGAUGAUCUAGAUGUGCGUCUUCUAACAACUAUUUAGGCUUUGUGAUUUCAUCUGUUUAGUACUUCAGUCACAGUUUUUGCCUUCUUUGUUUCGCUUCCCAUGGAUUCCUAUGGAUUUCCAGAAUUGAAGAUGCUGAGUUUGUGGGACAGUGCUCCAAUCUCCUGUCCAUGCCUUUCUGGUUUUGUUUGCUUAGUUUUUUUAUGGCAGAUUUAUUGACGCUCUCAGCAAAUUGCUCAUUACAAUGGCUUAGCUAAGAAGCUUAAUAUGGAAGAUCGGCAGGAUAAACAUUCUUGAUGUUUACAGGAAUUACUUUCCCACCUGUUACUGUUUUAAGUUUUUUUUCUGUAUACAUACAUACUAUUCACAUAUUAACUCUCGGUGAUACACAAAUUUACAAGCAGAUUGUGUAUGGUGAUAUAUUUUUAAAUAUUUCUCUUUUGAAGACUAUUCUCUGAUACUUUGACAACUCUAUUUCAAUCCAUAUUCUUGUCUUGGCCACACUUAUACUUUACAUUUGCAGGAUUUUGGUGGUUCUGCAAGACUACAGAAGAUCCUAUUCAAGGAGCAGUCUGACAACUUCGAAUUUUUACAGCACAUCUUGCUGGUCCUGGACUGCUGGUUCAGGAGGGAUGAAGAAGGUUCCAACAGUUACACCAUUGCCUAUCCUUCUCACCAGGUAAGACUAUUUUGCUCUAAUUCAGCAAGGGUUUUGAUGCGCAGGUUCUUCAGCGCCCCUUAUAUCUUCCGUGCUUGCCUCAAAGCCUGGCUUCCCAUCUAUCUCCCAGGCAAUACACGCUAAUAAUAUCGUGGAUAUAUUUUAAUAUAAAUCUCAUAUGUGCCUUUCUCACCUUCCAUUCUUCAUAACAGUAUUUUCUUAAAUUCUUAGUGAUAAAAACACUGCUCAUGAUUGGAAAUGAGGUUGCAUCGGGCUAAACGUUGAGAACAAUAGAACCCUACAAAACCUGGCUAAGCGUAGUUUGAUGAUUUGAUUUUUCAAGUGGUGUAGAUCAUACUGGGGUAAGGAUAUUAUGUAUAUUUGUUUUUUCAAGUAGUCAGACUGGAGUCGGGAUAUUGUGUAUGUAUACCGAAUUUUUCUUAGAUAGUGUACUUGAGAUGGUUAGUUAAAAAUUGCAGCAUCUGUAUAGAAGGUUGUAUUCCUACUCCCUCCGUCACAUAAUAUAAGAUGCUAUUACAUCCAAUAUGUGGGUAUAUUGGAUGUAAUAACUUCUUAUAUUAUGGGACGGAGGGAGUAUUUGUCAAGACCUUCAUGUCCUUAGGGGCAAUCAUACUAAUAGAUUUUUUUUGGUUAAUCGAUGCUUGUUGAAAAGUUUGUCCUAUGAAUGUGCACUCUAAGAACCACAUAUCUAAAAACCACAUAUAAAUUUAAAUUGUAUAUAUAGCUUCGCAUGUGCGGAAGUUUCAUGAGUUUAGGUUGAUAUUCUAUCGUUGCAGGGCACACUUUCUUACUGAACUGAGUAAUGCGGGUUGUUUGAGAUGGGCACUAGCUUAUAUAUUGUGCAACUGAAAUCGUUGAUAGCUGAAAAUGAAAUUAUGCCUAGUCUGUUUACCACUCUGACAAUAAUGACCUAUCGAAGACUGUAAUGAAGAACAAAUUUUUGUUUUCUUUUCGGUUAAUGGAAAUUUGACACAAUCACUGGUUGUAGAAGUUCUUUUCACACAGCAGAAACUUUUGACAAUAACAGCUAAAAUUGGAGGUUUUUUUUUAAAGAUGAAAAGGGAUGCAACCUCCCCAGUUUCAUUAGCUCAGAAUGAAACCAUAUAGUCGCAAGUAUAGGCAAGGCCAAAAGGCCGAGUUCAGAUAGAAAGAGGGAAAUGAAACUAGAAAACUAGAAAGAAACAUGGGAAGUAAAAAACUACAUGGACUAAGUCCCCGUGCAGCGCAUGCAGGCGCGAGUGGUAGAGCAAAGGAUGCACAAGUCAAACGGCAGGUAGCAGCUUGAGCUCGUCCUCGAUUCCUUUCGAGUGCCUGGAUAUUUGGAGGGCGUAGUGUCAGGCUGAGGGGACCAGCAGAUCUCCAGAGGCGAAGCUGUGCUGGAGAUGAGCUUCACCUUCAGGUACGGGCGCCGAGAUCAGGUGAAUCAGACAGGGACUGUUUGAACUCCGAGAUCUUCAGGCUGUCCACAAGUUGGCUGGCAGAAGUGGAGUAGCAGGAGGCAACGUCCGCAUUCCUCCAUGUGUGGCAGUAAUCAGCCACCCAGGAUUUGUAGAGGGGUUUGGAGGUACUUCGUUAGAUACAGGCAGAAGGAUUCCAGCCUCUCCUUCGCCUGAUCCGCAGAGAGUAUCACCGAAGUCUUGACAGUUUUCAGUUCACCACACCUGUUAUGGAGUUUCUAAACUUCCAAAUGCUGCCCCACAUGUAGAUGCACAGACAGUGUCGUCCUUGCUGUAGGCCUACUUAAGCCGCAUCGAUCUGAUGUGCAUUGUGUUGUGGAAGAACCGAGUUGGCCUGAUCCCUGUAGUUGGCUAAAUUCUUUGACCCUGGGGUGCUAAUGCGGGGCCGGCUAUUAAUAGCCGGUGGAGAGAGGCUGCGUUGGUGGUUCACCUACUUAAGCCACAUUAACUUGGAGCUUGUUCCUUCUCUUCGUUCUUUGACUCUUUGCAGACACGCCAUUCCCCAGGUGCAAUGUCACCUCCUCUUGGCUAGCAAUCGUCUGCCUUCUCCUUUACUUCAUCGGGAUUCCUCCUUUGACAGAACGGGUCCUUUUUGAGAAUACCAGGGGUAUAAGUCGGCCUAAAACAAACAAGAUACAACGGUACUUAAGUAUGCCUCACCAAAUCAGCCCAUCUGACGGUGUAUAAAUUGCAUGCAUAUAGACACAUACUCUUAAGGCAUGAGCCGAAACAAUGAAAAAAGGCGGCCAGCUAAUAGUGCAAGACUUUUAAGUGUAGCGCCAAGGCCAUUAUAAACAACUAAUUAUACAAUCAAUUAGAUACUAUAUAUGGGGAUGACCAAAGCCCACUCAUCAGGGAGUACUAGUAUAGAUGAAAGCAUGGAGUACCUCUUUUAGUCCAGAAUUUCUUUCAUUUCUGUGAUAGAAAAAGGAUAUGCAGGAUUGUGACAGACUGACAGCUUGCUUGGCAGACAUCCCGCGAGGAAUAUUUGUGCGAUCAUUCAUGCUUCGUUCUGAAUCUUGCAUGUUUAUUCCCAAAACUGGCACUUAUGGAAUUUGAUGUAUAUUCAUUGUUUCUUUUUCUCAACAAGAGCAAGAUUCAGAUGUUAUUGCACAAACAUUAUACCCUUUUGUUGGAGAACAUGAUAAAUUACCUGUUCAGAAUCCAAUGAGUAUGAAUUCUAAUUUCUCUGACAUAUUUAUGCCACCUUACGACUCUGUUUUCUCUGUUCUCAUUUCCCCACGCAGGCACAUGCACAUGCACACACAUUUAUGCCACCUUUGAACUUUUUAUAAUUCUCUCAUGUAUCCUUUUUGUAACAUGCUUGGUGCAAAAGUAACAUCUCAUUUUCCAGCUGAUAGCUCGAUAUUCUUCCCAUAAUCUCAUCUUUUGCUUUCAUACAGAUGCUAUCUGGCAUGGUCCCAUGAAUGAAGUUUCGACAUGCGAUCUAGUUU